rnacentral:rRNA from 1 species
GACGAACGCUGGCGGCGUGCCUAAUACAUGCAAGUCGAACGCAUUUUCUUUCACCGUAGCUUGCUACACCGAAAGAAAAUGAGUGGCGAACGGGUGAGUAACACGUGGGUAACCUGCCCAUCAGCGGGGGAUAACACUUGGAAACAGGUGCUAAUACCGCAUAAUUCCAUUUACCGCAUGGUAGAUGGAUGAAAGGCGCUUUUGCGUCACUGAUGGAUGGACCCGCGGUGCAUUAGCUAGUUGGUGGGGUAACGGCCUACCAAGGCUGCGAUGCAUAGCCGACCUGAGAGGGUGAGCGGCCACACUGGGACUGAGACACGGCCCAGACUCCUACGGGAGGCAGCAGUAGGGAAUCUUCGGCAAUGGACGCAAGUCUGACCGAGCAACGCCGCGGGAGUGAAGAAGGUUUUCGGAUCGUAAAACUCUUUUGUUAGGGAAGAACAAGGGUGGGGGGGGAAAGUUCAUCCCUGGAGGGUAUUAAACCAAAAAGCCACGGCUAACUACGU